rnacentral:tRNA from 1 species
AGGGGUAUGAUGUAAUGGUAACAUGAAGCUCUCCAAAAGCUUUCUUGAGGGUUCAAGUCCUUCUACCCCUGCCA